AUGUGUCUAGAGAUAGCUUUUUUCACCAUAUCACUUCAUGGCAACUUUUGCAAUUUUUUUUGUAAACUUUGUAGUGUUGGCAAUUUUUUUAUACUGUACAGAUGCAAUGAUUUAUUCCUUUUUUCUUGUUAUUUUUUAAAACAUAAACUUAAACAUGGCAGUUUUUUCAUAGAAUGGCAAAAAUCCAUGGCAAUUUUUUCGUGCAAUAGACCAUUGUUUAUUAGUAAUCACAGAAAAAACUGGGCUUCUUUUACUAGUUGUAACUUAAUAUGGGCUUUAUUUUUCGUUUUCCUUUUCACAGGAAAAAGGCCUGUAGGGCCCGAUGGUGGGGCGUUCGUGCUGGGGCGUUCUCCUCCCGAACGAGUCGUUCGGUCGAUGCCCCUCCCGUCCCGAACGAAGCCUUCGGGGUCCUUUUUUUAUAUAAAUUUGAUCAAACUUUGCUUCUUAUAA
rnacentral:rRNA from 1 species